GAUGACUGCCAGAAGCUUUUACAGAUUCUUUUUACCACAGAGAAAAGAGAAAGGAUCCUCUUGGAAGCCAGAAAACGUGUGCCUGGGGCAGAUGGGAACCCCACCUUACACCCAGCCCUGAUAGAUGCUGGUUUCCCUCUGAUAAGACCCACCUGGGAUUUUAACUCACCUGAAGAUAAUAGCUCAAGUCCAAAAGCAUAUGUGGCCAAGACUGAGAGCAAUAUAUGAAGCUGCACCCCCUCCAAACCCUCAUCCCUUCCAGCCGGGAGACUCGGUCUUGGUGAGACGCCAUCAAAAAGAGACACUUGAGCCCCGGUGGAAAGGACCAUACACUGUCAUCUUGGCCACCCCCACAGCCCUGAAGGUGGAUGGUAUCGGCUUGUGGAUCCACCACUUCCACGUUCGUGCAGCAGAGACAGAAGAGUUCAAGACCAGAUGGCAACUCAAGUCUGUUCCCAAACACCCACUCAAGCUCCGGUUGGUCUGCUCAUGACUCUAUAGACUCUUUCUCUCCUGGUGACUCUGAUCUUCGUUCCUGCUACUACUGCUCCUCAUGCCCCAUUGAUACCGGGACAGUAGUUAGAAACAGAGAUUGGCCCAAGAUUGGGCCCUAAAAGUUACAAAAAGACAAGGGGGGAAUGUGGGGUUGGAGGGGGGCCCCAAAUAUUGAGAGCAGCUGUUGGCCCAAGGCCAAUUGUUCCUUGUUUUGUGUGAAUACUUCCACCUGUGCCCACCCUGUGAUAACUAUAAAAAGGUGGAACAAGAAGUGAUCGGGGUCGCAGACUCUCCCUUUGCUUGGAAGGGUGUCAGCGGCCUAAGCUUCAGCUUCCUAAUAAAGGCUCUUGCUAUUGCAUGUGA